GCAGUGGCAUAGUUGGUAGUGCACCUGCUUUCUGAGCUGGUGGAUAGGGUUCGAGUCACGCGAUCAACU